rnacentral:misc_RNA from 1 species
ACUCGAGUGCAAAUACACGUUGAAACUUUAAAGCCUGGGUGGAGAAAUUCGUUCUACAAUCUACAGCGUAUAACAACUAUUGUAGCAGCAUUACACUUACAGCAAACGUUCGGUCUAAAUGUGGUGUCUGGUUGUCCUGGAUUCAUUUCGUAUAUGAUUGGAAAUGGAAGAGACGAACAGACGUUUUCAAGUUAACAAGUUAUUCGAAAAUAUGAAUUAGAAUUUCGCAGAGGUGUCUGAAAACGUUAUUAACUGCAUAUAAGAAAUAUUGAAAUUGAGAAAUAAAUUAACAGCAAAGUUGAUUUAAUAAUAAUAAUAGUAAAUUAGUAUAUAGUUUGAGAUAGGGCGAUCAUUAUAUAUAUAUAUAUAUCUUUAUUCUGUUGAACGCAGUCUAGUUUCAUUAUUUACCAGUUAAAAAAAGAAAAUGAACUCCUCUGAAAAGAAAAUUAUAAAGAAAAAGACAAAAACGGAAGAAACACAUCGGCAGAAUAACCGAUAUUCUAUGACUCUAAGAAGUUGUUGCCAGGAUGGAUGUUGUGCCGGAUCAGUAAUGGAGUUUGGAGGAUUAACCUUUACUAAACAGGACUUGAAGGUUGGUCAUCGACAUAGCCAUAGCAGCAGUCAUUCAUCAAGUGUCCAUCAUGAACAUCGUUACAACCAAUCAGCACUAACUUAUACCAGAGCAACUAAUGAAAGGGAAGAGAAGUUCCAUAAUGUUAAAGAAUUGCCAAAAUUGGGAGUAGUUGCAGAGAAAAAGGUGAUCAGGACAAAUAAUCAAAGCACAUCAACUCCCAAGAUUGUUGAAUCUCAAGACAAAGUUUUGGUUGGUAAAAUACGAACUGCUUCAUCUCUAAGCUCAUCUGCAACAAAUACAUCUGUGACAAAAUCAAGCAAAAAUGUGACCAAAAAAACAAAGAAGUAUUUUGGCCACCAAUCUUACAGUGACUAUUCUAGUGGGUUUAGUGAUAGUGACAGAGAAAACGAAAUAAAAACUGACUACACAUAUGCUAAAAGUGCUAGCUAUUGUAGUUCUGGAAGUACAGACAGUUAUGAAAGCCCUAACAUGUCACGGCGUUGUCUUCAUUCUACUUUCCAUCGGUCUUCACUUGUUUCUGAAGAACAUGAUAGCAAUGAACAUGUGGUGAUGAAUAAAAGCGAUGGCUAUCGGAUCCAGAAUACAAAUCCCAAUUCCAGAACUUUAGAAUCCUGGUUACCUUUUCAAAUAUCCAGUGAGAAUGAGCAGAAUUUUAUUCUUUCUCAUCAUUAUAACAACCUUGAAUAUAUUACAGGCCCUAAGAAUCUCAAUGAUAUGUAUGGUUUUGAUGGAUUUUCUGAUGUAGAUGAAGAAUUGGACUCAAAAGUAUAUACAACCCAAAAGGACAAAACAGCAAAAUAUACAUAUAACUUUUCAGCAUCUAUGUAUUACUUUACACUUGCAGGACGAAUAUCAAGGAAAGCUAGUUGGCUAUGGUACUUUUUGUGGAGUUGUUUGUACAAAGUAAUCAGUCAUGUUCUGGUGUUUGAUACAUGGUUUCUCUCCAGAUUGUCCGGAAUCAACAGAAAAUGCCUUCUUGUUAUUCCUCUUCUGUUUCUUCUUUUAUUCCUCUUAUAUGGUUGUAAGAAGAGAGAAGAAGGACCUGUACUAUCAAGUUCAGUUAAUAUUUUGUCAUCUACAUUAUCCUUUAUCUCCUCCAUGUGGUCAACCAAAUGGCUUAAAACAGGUGAUCAGGAAGCAAGAAUUCCACUUCAGACAAAAGAAACUCAAUCAGAAUCCUGGCUUAUGGUUGGUGAGUCACUGACUCAGGGUAACUGGUUCCAGGCAUUAUUUGGAGAAUCCAAGGUCAGUAAAGAAGAAAGUAGCAGAAACAGUAAAAGACAGAAGAAGUCUUCCGUUCAUUCUGAGACAACUUCCACACAGCUAUAUAAGGAACAAGUCAUUAAUUUGGUGAGGGAUGUAUUUAAGCAGGAAAUAGCUGUGUUGAAACUGGAAGUAAUUACUGAACAGGAAACUAUCAGACGUAAGGAGGCUGAAGAUUUAGCUCAUCAUACUGCAAAGUUAUUUGAUCUACAUAACCAGAUACAAACCAUAUUGUUGAAUUCAAAGUAUUUACGUGAAGAACUGAGUGACGUCAAGGAAAAGUUGGAAGCUAAAGGAAAGAGUGAAAUAGGAGAUGAGCAUGUCCAUCAGUUGCCCCUUGUUAGUCUGUCACAAAUAGACAACAAGUUUGAAGCCUUGGAGAAACAGGUCAUGGGAAUAAAAGAUCUACUGUAUGGAAUGAGAAAUUGCUGUCACAACCAGAGUGAAUAUUUGAAGACUGUUGAGAAUCAACUGGCUUCUAUACUACUACAGGUGAUGAAUGAAAAUAGAGAUGGCCAUUCUCCUUUUGCUACGUUUGGACAGUGGCUAAAACAUACAUUUGUCACCCAGGAUCAAUUUGCAAGUCAAAUGUCAGGUCUCACUGAUCACAUGACUUCUGAGUUGAGCAUUAAAAUGAAACAACACAUAGAAGAGAUAGCCCAGACAGCAGCAUCAGCCAUUGCACUUAGUUCAGCCCAGUCCCUGAGGGAGGAACUUCAAAAUGAAAGGGCAUCAUCCACUUCAGCUGUGUUUUCCAUCUCUGCAAAUGAUAGUAAGAUGUGUGCUUCCCAGGAGGAUGUGAAGAAAAUAGUACGAGAUGCCAUAUAUCUGUAUGAUGCAGACAAGACUGGGCUAGUGGACUAUGCCCUAGAAUCUCAGGGUGGCAUUAUUGUCAGUACAAGAUGUUCUGAAACAUACCAGAUGGGAAUUGGACAGUACAGAAUAUUUGGUAUUCCUAUCUGGCACUCUUACAACUCACCACGAAUUGUUAUUCAGGUAUUCAUCCUGGUGAGUGCUGGGCAUUUAAGGGAAGCUAUGGUUACUUGGUUAUCAAACUGUCAUCUUUUAUUCGGCCUACAGCCUUCUCUCUAGAACACAUCCCAAAAUCUCUCUCUCCUAAAGGGAGCAUUGAUAGUGCUCCAAAGGACUUUUCUGUAUGGGGAUUGCAGAAAGAAACUGACCUGGAAGGUCAGUUGCUAGGAGACUACACCUAUAAUGAAGAAGGAGACCCCCUGCAGUAUUUUGUUG